UCCUUCAGGUUUGCCACUUUGCAGGAA
rnacentral:piRNA from 1 species